GAUGCUCGUCUCCAGGGUGGAGUAUUGAAUUUAUAACUAAUGAAGUGGCAUCUGACACAUGACGAGCUGCUCCUGUUUGCACAGCAACUUCAACAUUGUGUACUGUGAUCACAGCAUAGUUCAGAGGUAGGUAACCUUGGGCAGUCCAGAUGCUGUGAAUAACAUCGACCAUAAUGCUGGCAAACCAUUAUGGGAGGUGUAGUCCAAAACAUCUGGAAUACCAAAUGCGUGUGAAUGCAAAGUAUGGUGUGUAUGAAUGGUCAGUAACAAGGGUUGAAGCCUUGACGUGGCGUUACUGCUCACAUGUGUAUUCAUGUGCCAAUUCAACCAAUGUGAGUCACUGUAAUACUUAUAAGGUAACCAAAAGUACUGUGAUUGUGGAGAAUGAAACUCCUUAUCCUAUGAAAUCUCCUAUACACUGCUGACACUGUGACCGUAUCCCCUAAACACUGCUCAUACUGUGACCGUAUCUCCUAAACACUGCUCACACUGUGACCCUAUCGCCUAUACACUGCUUACACUCUGACCCUAUCGCCUAAACACUGCUUACACUGUAAGCACAGACAUGCUUUUAAUCAAAAUUGAAAGCACUAGAUCAUUCCUUCUGUUCUACGCCUCCAAUCUUCAACAUUGAAAUUGUCAUUUCUAAUAAUAUAAAAUAAGUAAUAUGCUUUCUGGUUACGAUUUGGUGGGUUGUAAAUAUUUUUUUUAUUCUUACAGUUCCAGAGGGAAGGAGCAAACCGCUUUGAGGAGUCCCUGCAUAAGAGACUAUUGGAUACUGAAGGGCUGUACUGCAGUGUCGGCUCUAGACUUGGCGAGGCCUUAGGCGAAACUCAUACAUGAGACCCCACGGAGAACACCAUUAUUGAAGAAAAAAUAGCAGUUGACUUUGUGUAUAAGAAGCUGUAGAUAUAUUGAUGGUGGAGCUCAGUGGUGUAUCCUGGUUUUGUGCUGACCUAGGCAGGACAAAAUUCAGGCGCCCCCCUCCCCCGCCCCGCAUUCUAAAUACACACACACACACACACACACACACACACACAGAUAUGCAUACAUUAGCUAACAGAAACUGACACACUCACUAACAGACACAGUCAGACACACACACACACUAACAGACACACUCACACUCUCUAACAGACACACUCAAAUUUUUUUUUUAAUUUACACCCCCAGCCUCCUUACCUUUGCUAAUGCUGGGGGGGUUCUCUAUCUCUCUGGGGACUAGUGGGGCUGCCGGUCGGGCUGCUG